rnacentral:miRNA from 1 species
GUCGGUGAUGUUGUCAAGGAG